rfam:Triticum aestivum genome assembly, contig: Triticum_aestivum_CS42_TGACv1_scaffold_515239_6BS
ACAAUACUCCCUCCACCCCGAAAUACUUAUCGGAGGAAUGGAUAUAUCUAGACGUAUUUUAGUUCUAAAUACAUCCAUUUGUAUGCAUUUCUCUGACAAGUAUUUUCGGACGGAGGGAGUAUUAU